rnacentral:miRNA from 1 species
UAUUAAAUUGGUGCAAAAGUAAUUGCAGUUUUUGCUAUUGUUUUCAAUGGCAAAAACUGCAAUUACUUUUGCACCAACCUA